rnacentral:lncRNA from 1 species
AUCUGACGCCGCUCCUGUGUCCCGCAGAAACUGAGACCCUGCUCUGUGUGUCUCCAAAACUUCAAACGCUCAACCUACUGACAGACUUUCCGGACAACGCCUUCAAACAGUGCACGCAGUCACUCGCUGCGCGAGACCUGGCGGUGGUCUAUGCUCUCGGGCCGGCCUCUUUCCUUGCCAGUUUAGCCAUCUGCCUGGCAUUGGGCUCGGUACUCACUGCUUGUGGUGCACGGCGCCGCCGCCGCCGCACCACAGUGCGCCACUUAAUAAGGAGACAGCCAGACCCCGAGGGCCCAGCCUCCCUGGAGGAUGUUGGGAGCCCUACAACAACAGCUAUCCAAGCCUAAGGGUUCCGCUGUUGUUUCUAGCGCUCCUGUAGCAUCCCGCACUUUGAAAACUGUCCCCAAAUCCCCGAUCCUCCCUUCACAUUCCCUGUAGGCGUCAACAAUAGACAAAACCCG